rnacentral:rRNA from 1 species
CCUACGGGAGGCUGCAGCAAGGAAUUUUCCCCAAUGGGCGCAAGCCUGAGGGAGCAACGCCGCGUGGAGGAUGACGGCUUUCGGGUUGUAAACUCCUUUUGGGUGGGACGAUAAUGACGGUACCACCCGAAUAAGCCCCGGCUAACUCCGUGCCAGCAGCCGCGGUAAUACGGAGGGGGCAAGCGUUGUCCGGACUUACUGGGCGUAAAGGGUCCGUAGGCGGCCCGCUGCGUCGCUGCUGAAAGCGCCCCGCUUAACGGGGUGAGGCGUGGCGAUACGAGCGGGCUUGAGGGAGGCAGAGGGUGGCGGAAUUCCGGGUGUAGUGGUGAAAUGCGUAGAGAUCCGGAGGAACGCCUGUGGCGCAAGCGGCCACCUGGGCCUAACCUGACGCUGAGGGACGAAAGCGUGGGGAGCAAACCGGAUUAGAUACCCCGGUAGUC